ACCACAUGCCAGACGAGAGUGUAAGUACUAUCAAUCAUCGUGACCGCUUAUUAAGACUAGUUAAGAGUUUAUCCCCCAAAAUUGUGACCUUAGUUGAACAAGAAUCAAACACCAACACCGCCCCUUUCCUUCCAAGGUUCCGUGAAACUCUUGAUUACUAUACAGCAAUGUUCGAAUCAAUUGAUGCAGCUCGUCCUAGGGAUGACAAGGAGAGGAUCAGUGCAGAGGAGCAUUGUGUGGCACGAGAUGUUGUGAACAUAAUAGCAUGUGAGGGAGCUGACAGAGUGGAAAGACAUGAACUUUUCGGAAAAUGGAGGUUAAGACUUAUGAUGGCUGGAUUUACUCAAUGUCAAUUGAGUCCAUCAGUUGGUGAGACCAUAAAGCACAUGUUGAAAGAGUACAGCCCUAAUUAUCGGUAUGCAGAAGGCGAAGGAGCACUCUAUCUUGGAUGGAAAAAUAGAGCUUUAGCAACUUCCUCUGCCUGGAGAUGACAUUUUUUGCCCUAUGAUCUCGUCGUUUCAUCUUCAUAACUUCUCGUUUCAUAUAUACAGAGCUCGGAGUAUGGAAUGUUUAGGUUUCUACAUGCUACCAUAGGGAGGAAUAUUGUGAGUUUGAAAUAGACUCCAUGUCUCCAUAUUUGGGUAUUGUCAUUUCCCUUUGUAUUUGAAUGCUUUUUUUUUUUAGUUGUACAUUUUUGUUAUGCACGGGUUCAUAUUUGGUUAAUCGAAGCCUAUGUACAAUCAUUUAAAGGCAUGAACGGAGGAGUUAAUAUCUGGUCACUCAACUUUGAGUUGUUUACUCAGAAAGUCACUCAACUUUGAGUUGUUUACUCAGAAA
rnacentral:misc_RNA from 1 species